AAACGAAGUUAAAAAAUCUAUGUGUCACUGUACUUGUCAAAUCAAAGUUAGUUAUGACAAAAUCGUUACUAAUUGCUAUUUAAUUGAAUCCAUAAUAAAAGCAUUAAUAUUUUCUUUACUAGUAGGUAAUCCCUAUCUCUUUUCAUUUACACAUAUGGAUGUAACGCUUAAUGUGUUUUGUGUUCCAUGCAUCGCAUUCACAGCAUGCAGCUGAUUUUUUGUAGUAAUCAGCCAUGGCUUCUGAUUUAUGAUUUAUCAAAUCGUUUACAAUUCCACAUGUGUUACAUUUUGCGGUAAAUUUGCUUCAUUAAUCAAAAAACGUAAAGUAUUUUAAGCUCCUGCCGCACUAAUUUAACAAACAGAGAUUUCACUUCA